rnacentral:rRNA from 1 species
AGGUGCGAUCAUACCAGCACUAAUGUACCGGAUCCCAUCGAAACUCCGAAGUUAAGCGUGCUUGGGAAAGAAUAGUACUAAGAUGAACUUUGUCACAGGACUUU